CGGUCACAAAGGCUACGCGAGUCUUUGUGGAAAGGCUGCGCGAGUCUUUUCAGCUUUUGGAAAAAGCAUAUGGAAAGGUUUCACCCUGAAGUCUGUGUUGACGCGCAGGCAGUUUCCCUUAUUGUGCAGAGAGAACGAUUGAUGCAGCCUUACCACUGACUGGUAGGAAUCAUCAAGAAUUUAGAAUUAGAAGUUUAUGAAGUCAUUGUGUAUUGCUGUCGCUAUUGGUGAUAUUGGUGUUUCUUAGAUCACAGCUUCAAAACUAAGAUAUAUAAUGACGGGUAUAUAUAUAUAUAGAGAGAGAGAUAAUAAAGGUAAAAAUAUUUGCUAACGGAAAGAGUCAACCAACAAAGAUCACUCCAACAGCAAGACGUGUAAUAGUCCACAAGGUCACAAAGGAACCCAGGAAAUGUUGUGGAAGAACCUGAAGCAAGCAGUUCAUGUGAGGAAACCCACCAACAUCCCAGAGCUGAAGCUGUUCUAGACUGAGGAACGGGCUAAAUUUUCUCCAAGCCGAUAUGCAGGACUGAUCAACAAUCACGCUCGUUGAAAUCACUAAUGACCAAACGCUGAUGUUGACAAAGACUGAGUACGAUCCCCAUGAUGUCCAACCUGACUUGUAUCCUAAACCCGACUGGGUAUCAGAUCCUCCCAGCGACACUGACGAUGACGACCCAUUGACAACCAUUUCACACCUAUUGUAAAUAUUCCUUUGACCAGGACGACUCUCAUUUCACUCUAAAAUAAGCUUGAUUGACUACAGGAUACUUUAUAUCCGCCUAAGAAAGCCAUGCCUUGUCACUUAGAUCAGUACAGAAUGUUUAUCUGCUUACAGAGAGACAAACACGUUCUUCUGCUCAUCUUCUAAGAGCCUAAAACAAAACAUGUUUGAACUGCCUCAAACUGCUUCUUAUCGGUACACAGAAGUGUGUCAUGCUCUGCGUUAUAUAUAUAUAGUAGUGGUUCAGCACAAGCGCUUCAGAGCACUCUCAUUAUUCUAUCCUGCUUUAUUCUAUCCUGUAUUAACCAUCUUUCUGUAAUAAACCUGUUUUUACCUUCA